UGGGGAAUAUUGCACAAUGGGCGAAGCCUGAUGCAGCAACGCCGCGUGAGUGAUGAAGGCCUUCGGGUUGUAAAGCUCUGUCUUUUGGGACGAUAAUGACGGUACCAAAGGAGGAAGCCACGGCUAACUACGUGCCAGCAGCCGCGGUAAUACGUAGGUGGCAAGCGUUGUCCGGAUUUACUGGGCGUAAAGGAUGCGUAGGCGGAUUUUUAAGUGAGAUGUGAAAUACCCGGGCUUAACUUGGGUGCUGCAUUUCAAACUGGGAAUCUAGAGUGCGGGAGAGGAGAAUGGAAUUCCUAGUGUAGCGGUGAAAUGCGUAGAGAUUAGGAAGAACACCAGUGGCGAAGGCGAUUCUCUGGACCGUAACUGACGCUGAGGCAUGAAAGCGUGGGUAGCAAACAGGAUUAGAUACCCUGGUAGUCCACGCCGUAAACGAUGAGUACUAGGUGUAGGAGGUAUCGACCCCUUCUGUGCCGCAGUUAACACAAUCAAGUACUCCGCCUGGGAAGUACGAUCGCAAGAUU
rnacentral:rRNA from 1 species